GUCGAACGGUAGAGGGGGCAACCCCUUGAGAGUGGCGAACGGGUGAGUAAUAUAUCGGAACGUGCCCAGUCGUGGGGGAUAACGUAGCGAAAGUUACGCUAAUACCGCAUACGAUCUACGGAUGAAAGCGGGGGACCUGUAAGGGCCUCGCGCGAUUGGAGCGGCCGAUAUCAGAUUAGGUAGUUGGUGGGGUAAAGGCUCACCAAGCCAACGAUCUGUAGCUGGUCUGAGAGGACGACCAGCCACACUGGAACUGAGACACGGUCCAGACUCCUACGGGAGGCAGCAGUGGGGAAUUUUGGACAAUGGACGCAAGUCUGAUCCAGCCAUUCCGCGUGCAGGAUGAAGGCCCUCGGGUUGUAAACUGCUUUUGUACGGAACGAAAAGGUCUCUCUUAAUACGGGGGGCUCAUGACGGUACCGUAAGAAUAAGCACCGGCUAACUACGUGCCAGCAGCCGCGGUAAUACGUAGGGUGCAAGCGUUAAUCGGAAUUACUGGGCGUAAAGCGUGCGCAGGCGGUUAUAUAAGACAGAUGUGAAAUCCCCGGGCUCAACCUGGGAACUGCAUUUGUGACUGUAUAGCUAGAGUACGGUAGAGGGGGAUGGAAUUCCGCGUGUAGCAGUGAAAUGCGUAGAUAUGCGGAGGAACACCGAUGGCGAAGGCAAUCCCCUGGACCUGUACUGACGCUCAUGCACGAAAGCGUGGGGAGCAAACAGGAUUAGAUACCCUGGUAGUCCACGCCCUAAACG
rnacentral:rRNA from 1 species